UUUUUUUUUUUUUUCUGUGAAGGACCAGAUCGUUAAUGUUUUUGGUUUAUGGAUCACUGGAUCUCUGUCACAGAUACUCACCUUUGCCAUUGUAGUAGAUGAAAUAUGGUAACACACGCAAAUCCCAAAGACUGAAAAAUCUGUCUGUAGAAUGUGAGAGGUAUGCAAGCUUCGGCUUGUUCAACACUGCAUCUCAGCAUUUCUGCAGUGCCUGAUACACGAUAAAUGAUGGACACAUGGACCAAUGGAUGGUCCAACCCACGGAUUAACAAACAGAUUGACAAGAGCAGUGGUUUCUGUCUGUUUCUAAACAAGAACAUCAUCAUCACAGUUAGCAUUCAUUGCAUCCUUACUGUUCCUGGGAUUUUUAUUAUUAUUAUUAUCUUGUCUUUUUAGGGUCACACCCACGGCAUAUGGAGGUUCUCAGGCUAGGGGUCAAAUCAGAGCUGUAGCUGCUGGCCUACACCACAGCCACAGCAAUGCAGGAUCUGAGCUGUAUCUGCAACCUACACCACAGCUCAUGGCACCACCAGAUCCUUAACCCACUGAGAAAGGCCAGGGAUCCAACGUUAGUCCUCAUGGAUGCCAGUCAGAUUUGUUCCCGCUGAGCUACGAUGGGAAUUACUAGUCCUGGGCUUUUUGGAUGCUGGACCUUAAAUGAAUCAGUUAUGUUCAUCUCACCUGCUCCUUUCUAAGGGGUGGUUAUGAGAAUUAAGUGUAUGUGAAAAUCUCCAUCAACUGCAAAGUGAUAUUCAAAAAGUAAGUUGCUGUUUCAAACCAGCUCUGGCGUGCAUGAACAGCCUGAGAUUGUGCAGGAUAGGAAGGCUUGGCCUUGGGUAUGUAUGGGCCCAACUGGUUGUGGGCAUGUUGGAAAAUAAGAAGGUGAACUGCAGGGUUUAUAGAUGCUAUUUAUUACUGUUGUUCACCAUUAUUAUGUCUGGGACUUAGGACGUUGCCUAAGGCACUAAAUAAAUAUUGACUGAAGGAAGAAAUGAAGGUAUAAACAAAUAUACAG
rnacentral:lncRNA from 1 species